UACAGAGGUCUCAAGCGUUGUUCGGAUUCAUUGGGCGUAAAGGGUGCGUAGGUGGCGAGGUAAGUUGGAUGUGAAAUCCCGGGGCUCAACCCCGGAACUGCAUUCAAUACUGCCUUGCUAGAGUACUGGAGGGGAGAUUGGAAUUUACGGUGUAGCAGUGAAAUGCGUAGAUAUCGUAAGGAAGACCAGUGGCGAAGGCGGAUCUCUGGACAGUUACUGACACUGAGGCACGAAGGCCAGGGGAGCAAACGGG
rnacentral:rRNA from 1 species